rnacentral:antisense_RNA from 1 species
UGUUAUGGCGGCUGUGCGUGGGACACCUUCGGGUGUGCCGGGAUGCUCCAACCCGGUCGGCCAACCCGCGCACAGCUGCCACCAUC